UGCUAUAUCACCACUAUUUGUGAGCUUUUUAUUUUCAACCGUUGAUUUUGAACCCUUUCAAUCGCUAGGUAAAUGAUAUUGAAAAAUCACAAAAUUUAUUUUCUAGAUAAUUCAAAUACGCUAGAUCAAGUCUAAAGGAUCAGAACGUCAAUUCGGAAGCUCCAUGACCGAAAAUGGCUUAGGAGCACGGAGGGCUCCAU
rnacentral:lncRNA from 1 species